rnacentral:rRNA from 1 species
AUUGAACGCUGGCGGCAUGCUUUACACAUGCAAGUCGAACGGCAGCGCGGGCUUCGGCCUGGCGGCGAGUGGCGAACGGGUGAGUAAUGCAUCGGAACGUGCCCAGUAGUGGGGGAUAGCCCGGCGAAAGCCGGAUUAAUACCGCAUACGACCUGAGGGUGAAAGCGGGGGACCGAAAGGCCUCGCGCUAUUUGAGCGGCCGAUGUCGGAUUAGCUAGUUGGUGGGGUAAAGGCUUACCAAGGCGACGAUCCGUAGCUGGUCUGAGAGGACGACCAGCCACACUGGGACUGAGACACGGCCCAGACUCCUACGAGAGGCAGCAGUGGGGAAUUUUGGACAAAGGGGGCAACCCUGAUCCAGCCAUGCCGCGUGCGGGAAGAAGGCCUUCGGGUUGUAAACCGCUUUUGUUCGGGAAGAAAACCUCUGGGCUAAUACCCCGGGGGGAUGACGGUACCGGAAGAAUAAGCACCGGCUAACUACGUG